GACGAACGCUGGUUUCGUGCUUAACACAUGCAAGUCGAACGGAAAGGCCCUGCUUUUGUGGGGUGCUCGAGUGGCGAACGGGUGAGUAACACGUGAGUAACCUGCCCUUGACUUUGGGAUAACUUCAGGAAACUGGGGCUAAUACCGGAUAGGAGCUCCUGCUGCAUGGUGGGGGUUGGAAAGUUUCGGCGGUUGGGGAUGGACUCGCGGCUUAUCAGCUUGUUGGUGGGGUAGUGGCUUACCAAGGCUUUGACGGGUAGCCGGCCUGAGAGGGUGACCGGCCACAUUGGGACUGAGAUACGGCCCAGACUCCUACGGGAGGCAGCAGUGGGGAAUAUUGCACAAUGGGCGGAAGCCUGAUGCAGCAACGCCGCGUGCGGGAUGACGGCCUUCGGGUUGUAAACCGCUUUCGCCUGUGACGAAGCGUGAGUGACGGUAAUGGGUAAAGAAGCACCGGCUAACUACGUGCCAGCAGCCGCGGUGAUACGUAGGGUGCGAGCGUUGUCCGGAUUUAUUGGGCGUAAAGGGCUCGUAGGUGGUUGAUCGCGUCGGAAGUGUAAUCUUGGGGCUUAACCCUGAGCGUGCUUUCGAUACGGGUAGACUUGAGGAAGGUAGGGGAGAAUGGAAUUCUUGGUGGAGCGGUGGAAUGCGCAGAUAUCAGGAGGAACACCAGUGGCGAAGGCGGUUCUCUGGGCCUUUCCUGACGCUGAGGAGCGAAAGCGUGGGGAGCGAACAGGCUUAGAUACCCUGGUAGUCCACGCUGUAAACGGUGGGUACUAGGUGUGGGGUCCAUUCCACGGGUUCCGUGCCGUAGCUAACGCUUUAAGUACCCCGCCUGGGGAGUACGGCCGCAAGGCUAAAACUCAAAGGAAUUGACGGGGCCCCGCACAAGCGGCGGAGCAUGCGGAUUAAUUCGAUGCAACGCGUAGAACCUUACCUGGGUUUGACAUGGAUCGGGAGUGCUCAGAGAUGGGUGUGCCUCUUUUGGGGUCGGUUCACAGGUGGUGCAUGCCUGUCGUCAGCUCGUGUCGUGAGAUGUUGGGUUAAGUCCCGCAACGAGCGCAACUCUUGUUCACUGUUGCCAGCACGUUAUGGUGGGGACUCAGUGGAGACCGCCGGGGUCAACUCGGAGGAAGGUGGGGAUGACGUCAAGUCCUCAUGCCCCUUAUGUCCAGGGCUUCACGCAUGCUACAAUGGCUGGUACAGAGAGUGGCGAGCCUGUGAGGGUGAGCGAAUCUCGGAAAGCCGGUCUCAGUUCGGAUUGGGGUCUGCAACUCGACCUCAUGAAGUCGGAGUCGCUAGUAAUCGCAGAUCAGCAACGCUGCGGUGAAUACGUUCCCGGGGCU
rnacentral:rRNA from 1 species